AUAAAUUUUAAUUAUUUGAUUAUAAUUUUAUUUUUUAUAUUUUUUAUGUAAUAGUAAGACUCAUAAUUUAACUUAUUGUUCGUAAGCUAAUUAAUGUUUAGUCACAUAAUAAAUAAGCCGAAAACAAACUAGAUUUUUCAUCUUGAUAUUUUAAUGAGCCCAGUUCGUGUUCAGCUCGUCGACAGUCUUAGUGUUGGCUAGUUUCUUAAAUUAUUAUUUCAUAGAAUUGAAAUGAAAAUUCAAGAUAUAAAAACAUUAUUAGUUGGU
rnacentral:lncRNA from 1 species